UGGACAGAUUAUUGUAUUCGAUUGUAUUCAUGGCGUGAAACAGGGGAUUACACUGUUUUUAAACGGAAAGUGAAUCAAUUAUCAUAAUAGACUCCU
rnacentral:pre_miRNA from 1 species